ensembl:snRNA U6 U6 spliceosomal RNA
GUGAAUGCCUCGACAACACAUACAUUCAAAUUGGAACGAUACAGAGAUUAUCAUGGCCCCAGAACAAGGAUGACAUGCAAAUUUGUGAAGUGUUCCAUAGAAAA